GUAGAAUGUGUUUUAAGGCAUCCUUUGCUUUUUAUCUGAAUAGUCAAUUGAUUGCCUCUAUUCUAUUUUCUUUUAAAAAACAUCCUUUAUUAAGAUGAAAACUAAGGUUAUUCCUAUAAUAAAAAAUAUUCUACAUAUACAAACAACAAAUCAAAAGAUGAUUAACACAUUUACCAAAUUCUCAGGCACCAAGAGCAAGGGAAGGGUUGAAGUCAGAGUGUAUACAAGGGAGAUCCCUACCUGGGCAGGUGAGAAGAGGGUUGUGCCUGGAGAGAGAAAAACUGUUCAGAAAGAUAGUCUGGUGACUGUUCUAAUCAAGCCAUUUGGAUAAAUAUAAGUGUCUCCUCAAAAGAUUUUGAUUUUGAUUUGAAGGCAAAAGACAUAGAGCAAGACUAGACAAGCAACACAAGACAUAGAGCAAAUAAUGUGAGCACCUUCUAAGUGCCUAGCAUUGUCCUGGGCAUGUGGGGAUACAUUGGGGACAAAAUAGAUGAGAACUCCUGCUUGAUGGAGCUUACCUUUCUUCAGUGAGAUAAGCUAGGCUGCAUGACUCAGUUUUGUUCUUCAGGUUCAUAGGGAGAGAAAAUGUUGGGACUUCCUUGGUGGUCCAAGGAUUAAGAAUCCUCUCUGCAAUGAAGGGGAUGUGGGGUUGAUCCCUGGUGGGGGAACCAAGAUCCUGCAUGCCAUGGAAAACUAAACCUGUGCGCCACAUGCAGAGAAUUCAUGUGCCACAAUGAAAGAUCCCAUCUGUCACAACUAAGACCUGUCACAGUCAUAUAAAUAAUUAAUCUAAAGGAAGAGGAAGAGGAAAUGUUGGAUUGCUAGAAGGCGUGUUGUGUUUUUCUAACCAAGCUGUAUUUAAAAGAAAGAGAAAACUGGAGUGAUCUCUCACGUCAAAAGAAUAAGUGCUCAAAGCAGGGUUAGAAUGGCCUGACUUGAGAUGGGGCUGUGUGGGGGUGGUGUCCUGAACCUGAAUACUGACUUUGUCAGCUGCUAGCUGUAUAGUUGUCCCGAGCCCUGGCUUCCUUAUCUGUACAAUUGACUAUUGUGAUGACAAAAUGAGAUCCUUUGUAAAGUGCUCACCUGCUACCUACCUAGAAUGGCACUAAGAAAAGCGUAUUGCAUUGUCAAUCUUCUAAUCCCCAAUUUUUAUUUGUAGUUAAUAUCUUUAUUUUCUAUAGUUUACUAAAGGGGUUAAGAUUUAUUCCUGAUAAUUAGAUUUAUCCUGUCUAAAAUUUUAUUUGUCAUCUUUUGGAGCAUGCCAUAGGCUAAAAUACACAUUACAAACAUAGCCUGAAUUUGUAAGUCACUUCAUCCACUUCCACAACACUGUAACAUCUGAAAAUAAUGUUUGGGG
rnacentral:lncRNA from 1 species